rnacentral:rRNA from 1 species
UACGGAGGGUGCAAGCGUUAAUCGGAAUUACUGGGCGUAAAGCGUGCGCAGGCGGCUUGUUAAGUCUGCUGUGAAAUCCCCGAGCUCAACUUGGGAAUUGCAGUGGAUACUGGCAGGCUGGAGUAUGGUAGAGGAAGGUGGAAUUCCCGGUGUAGCAGUGAAAUGCGUAGAGAUCGGGAGGAACAUCAGUGGCGAAGGCGGCCAUCUGGGACAACACUGACGCUGAAGCACGAAAGCGUGGGGAGCAAACAGG